GGAAUAUUGGUCAAUGGAUGCAAGUCUGAACCAGCCAUGCCGCGUGCAGGAAGACGGCCCUCUGGGUUGUAAACUGCUUUUACCAGGGGCUAAAACUCUCUUGCGAGGCCGAUUGCAGGUACCUGGGGAAUAAGCCACGGCUAACUACGUGCCCGCAGCCGCGGUGAUACGUAGGUGGCUAGCGUUGUCCGGAUUUAUUGGGUUUAAAGGGUGCGUAGGCGGCCAGAUAAGUCAGUGCUGAAAUACCCCGGCUUAACCGGGGGGGUGGCAUUGAUACUGUUUGGCUUGAGUGAAGAUGAGGUAGGCGGAAUUGACGGUGUAGCGGUGAAAUGCAUAGAUAUCGUCAAGAACACCGAUAGCGAAGGCAGCUUACUAAGUUUUAACUGACGCUGAUGCACGAAAGUGUGGGGAUCAAAC
rnacentral:rRNA from 1 species